rnacentral:rRNA from 1 species
GACGAACGCUGGCGGCGUGCUUAACACAUGCAAGUCGAACGGAAAGGCCCUGCUCUUGUGGGGUGCUCGAGUGGCGAACGGGUGAGUAACACGCGAGUAACCUGCCCUUGACUUUCUGAUAACUUCAGGAAACUGGGGCUCAUACCGGAUAGGAGCUCUUGCUGCAUGGUGGGGGUUGGAAAGAUUCGGCGGUUGGGGAUGGUCUCGCGGCUUAUCAGCUUGUUGGUGAGGUAGUGGCUUACGAAGGCUUUGACGGGUAGCCGGCCUGAGAGGGUGACCGGCCACAUUGGGACUGAGAGACGGCCCAGACUCCUACGGGAGGCAGCAGUGGGGAAUAUUGCACAAUGGGCGGGAGCCUGAUGCAGCAACGCCGCGUGCGGGAUGACGGCCUUCGGGGUGUAAACCGCUUUCGCCUGUGACGAAGCGUGAGUGACGGUAAUGGGUAAAGAAGCACCGGCUAACUACGUG